rnacentral:rRNA from 1 species
UUGUGUGAUCAUACCAGUACUAAUGCACCGAAUCCCAUCAGAACUCCGCAUUUAAGCGUGAUUGGACGAGAUUAGUACGAGGAUGGAUGACCUCCUAGGAAGUUCUCGCGUUAGGAAAA